CACCAUCCAGUUUGCUUUGGAAUUACCUUCCAGCCCUCUCCAGCAAAGCCCAGCCCAGAAAUGGAUCAAGCCCACCCCUGGGAGCUGUUCCUUUGGGAAGCAGGACCUGCCCCCUCCCCAGCCACAGCAGCCAUCAGACAGUUCUUGGAGGGUCAUCACAUGGGCAGCCAGAGAGAGAGGAUGGAUUUUUGCCACAGCCCUGUGACUUUCUCGGAGCUGAAUUUCUCCUGCCAACUGCACUCUCCACCCUGCGGGAACCACGGGCCCCCAAACCAGGGCCUGCCCUGGUCUGACCAAAGGCAACCAGAUCUGCUGCAGCUGUUCAGAAAGAGAACAAGCUCUCCCAGAGACGUGGAAGCAGGGAGGGAAAGAUUCUUGCCAGCCUGGGGGUGUAAAUAUUUAUACAGCGCGCAGUAAUGUUGAACAUGGAUGAAGAUGAUGAGGAACUGAUGGGACCUGGCAGGAGAGCAAGGGGUGGAGAAGGUGAGGGAGACUUCGAUGGUGCUUCCAGAGCAGCGUAUGCCCAUCGCCACAGGGCUUAGGAAAAGGCAGUGCAGCCCCAUGGACGUCCACCUGGGGAGCACCCCAGGAUGCAGCUCAGCUUCAGGAGGGGUGCAGCUGCGACUUCUAGGGUUUCUCUGCCACCGCACCCUUCAAGAAGUGCCACCUGCUUCUAUCAGUAUGGGGCUGACCCUCAGAGCCUCCCACAGAGAGGAAUGGGACCCAGGCCCACACACCAUGGAGGAAACACCAUCUGCCCCAACCCUCGGCCCCAGCCUGACAAUGAACGCUCACAGGAGGACAGCCUCACUGUCCCUAAGCCCCCCUCUCCAGAAACGAGCUCCUCUUCCAGGGAUACCAGGGCUAGGGGAGACUCUUCAGAUGCUUGGGUCCUCUCCUGCCACCAUGGCCCUGCCUGCCGGCUGUGGCCUCCUCCUUGCCAGCACUGCUGAAACAGAUGAGCAAGAAUAA
rnacentral:lncRNA from 1 species